UACAGAGGGGGCAAGCGUUGUUCGGAAUUACUGGGCGUAAAGGGCGCGUAGGCGGCCGCCUAAGUCAGACGUGAAAUCCCUGGGCUCAACCCAGGAACUGCGUCCGAUACUGGUUGGCUUGAAUCCGGGAGAGGGACGUGGAAUUCCAGGUGUAGCGGUGAAAUGCGUAGAUAUCUGGAGGAACACCGGUGGCGAAGGCGACGUCCUGGACCGGCAUUGACGCUGAGGCGCGAAAGCCAGGGGAGCAAACGGG
rnacentral:rRNA from 1 species